GGAGGGAUGGCAGAGCGGUCGAACGCGGCGGUCUUGAAAACCGUUAGGCUCCCCUGGAGUCUCCUGGGUUCGAAUCCCAGUCCCUCCG
rnacentral:tRNA from 1 species